rnacentral:rRNA from 1 species
AGGAGGAACACCGGUGGCGAAGGCGACUUUCUGGCUGACAACUGACGCUGAGGCGCGAAAGCGUGGGGAGCAAACAGGAUUAGAUACCCUGGUAGUCCACGCCGUAAACGAUGAUUACUGGGUGUAGGGAGUAUCGACUCUCUCUGUGCCGAAGCAAACGCGAUAAGUAAUCCACCUGGGGAGUACGACCGCAAGGCUAAAACUCAAAGGAAUUGACGGGGACCCGCACAAGCAGUGGAGUAUGUGGUUUAAUUCGAGGCAACGCGAAGAACCUUACCAGGGAUUGACAUCCUGCGCUAGGCCUGGAGACAGGUUGUUCCUUCGGGACGCAGAGACAGGUGGUGCAUGGUUGUCGUCAGCUCGUGUCGUGAGAUGUUCGGUUAAGUCCGGCAACGAGCGCAACCCUUGUUGUCAGUUACCAUCAUUAAGUUGGGGACUUUGGCGAGACUGCCGUUGACAAAACGGAGGAAGGUGGGGAUGACGUCAAAUCAUCAUGCCCCUUAUAUCCUGGGCUACACACGUACUACAAUGGGCGUUACAGCGGGCAGCCACACCGCGAGGUGGAGCGAAUCCCGAAAGGCGUCCUCAGUUCGGAUUGCAGGCUGCAACUCGCCUGCAUGAAGUCGGAAUUGCUAGUAAUGGCAGGUCAGCAUACUGCCGUGAAUACGUUCCCGGGUCUUGUACACACCGCCCGUCACACCAUGAGAGUCUGUAACACCCGAAGUCAGUAGUCUAACCUGAUUAGAUUAGGGGGACGCUGCCGAAGGUGGGAUAGAUAAUUGGGGUGAAGUCGUAACAAGGUAACCGUA